GAUGAACGCUGGCGGCGUGCCUAAUACAUGCAAGUCGAGCGAACAGACGAGGAGCUUGCUCCUCUGACGUUAGCGGCGGACGGGUGAGUAACACGUGGAUAACCUACCUAUAAGACUGGGAUAACUUCGGGAAACCGGAGCUAAUACCGGAUAAUAUAUUGAACCGCAUGGUUCAAUAGUGAAAGACGGUUUUGCUGUCACUUAUAGAUGGAUCCGCGCCGCAUUAGCUAGUUGGUAAGGUAACGGCUUACCACGGCAACGAUGCGUAGCCGACCUGAGAGGGUGAUCGGCCACACUGGAACUGAGACACGGUCCAGACUCCUACGGGAGGCAGCAGUAGGGAAUCUUCCGCAAUGGGCGAAAGCCUGACGGAGCAACGCCGCGUGAGUGAUGAAGGUCUUCGGAUCGUAAAACUCUGUUAUUAGGGAAGAACAAAUGUGUAAGGAACUAUGCACGUCUUGACGGUACCUAAUCAGAAAGCCACGGCUAACUACGUG
rnacentral:rRNA from 1 species